rnacentral:rRNA from 1 species
AUACGGAGGGUGCGAAGCGUUGUUCGGAAUUACUGGGCGUAAAGGGCGCGUAGGCGGCACUGUAAGUCAGAUGUGAAAGUCCAGGGCGUAACCCUGGAAGUGCAUCUGAUACUGCAGAGCUUGAGUAUCGGAGGGGAAAGUAGAAUUCCCGGUGUAGAGGUGAAAUUCGUAGAUAUCGGGAGGAAUACCGGUGGCGAAGGCGUCUUUCUGGACGAAUACUGACGCUGAUGCGCGAAAGCGUGGGGAGC